rfam:Gossypium arboreum cultivar AKA8401 contig_991_1, whole genome shotgun sequence.
UGUUAAAAACUUCAUCCAUAUAUACUAUUAAAAAUUGAUGUGGUUGACAAAAUGACCAGAUAAUGACACUUGGUAUACCAUGUGCAUCUCAUACUGACAUACGGUAACCAAUUUUUAACAACAGAAAUAGAUAAAAAUUUUAACA